GACGGAGGGUGCAAACGUUGUUCGGAAUCACUGGGCAUAAAGAGCACGUAGGCUGCGCGCUAAGUCAGGUGUGAAAUCCCCCGGCUCAACCGGGGAACUGCACCUGAUACUGGCGUGCUCGAGGACGGUAGGGGUGAGUGGAACUCCAGGUGGAGCGGUGAAAUGCGUAGAUAUCCUGAGGAACACCGGUGGCGAAAGCGGCGCGCUGGACCCCUUCUGACGCUGAGGCGCGAAAGCCAGGGGAGCAAACGGG
rnacentral:rRNA from 1 species